UGGGAGAUUGAGAGGGAGUAAAAGUUUUAGCAAAAUUAGAGAGCGACCUGGAAACUGUCUACGUUAUAUCAGCUGCAGAACUCAGGCUUUCCUUUUCUAUCUUCGCGCAAGCUUUUCAAUAUGAGUCUUUUGCAGACAAAUUUAACACUGGAUGGGAAUGGGCGGUCGACUAGCGCAUUUGGUUCUAAAAUACGGGCUGAGCGCCCUACACAGAUUUGGUUGAUCAAUGCACUUCCCAAGUGCCAUGCUUUAAUUCUCCGAUGCACCCACUUUUUCCAAUGAAAGUCCCAAUUAAAGAUCCACAUAAUGGGGAACCUGCUAUUUGACCGUGUCAGACUCAGUUGAGCCUUUGGAUUAAGCGUCAAUCUGUUCCGACUAGUCCUACAUUCACUACGAGUGCGUGGCAAGGCAGCUCUAAAGAUGUAUGUCGCGGAACUUACAUGUUUUUUAUCAAAAGCGACUCACUGAGAACUGCUGGAGCACCUCAUAUCAUACCAGUAGACAUUUAAACCGCGGGACCCGCUCUAACAACUUGAUUGCGCAGUACAGUAAACAAUGUUUUCGGAAAGACUGGUACCGUCAAAUCUACAUAUUUAUUAUAAUUAAUUAUAAUAAAUUCACAAUUGUCACAGAUGGCGGCUAUUGAAUGUUUUUAACAAAUCCAGUGGGU